CAGAGCUAGCGCGGCCGACCGCGGUGUUGAUGAGUAGACUUCCUUCCCACAGUCGCUCCUACUUCAACCAACUGCUGCAACUCACCCACCAUAGAGACCUCUGCAAAGGCCGAGCCUUGCAUGCGCAGAUCCUUAAAACUGGUUCUUCCUCUUGCAUUUUCAUCGCCAACAGCCUCGUCAACCUCUAUGCUAAGUGCGGACGCUUGCUCGAAGCAUUCCUCCAAUUUGAAGACAUACCCGGCAAGGACGUCGUCUCAUGGAAUUGCAUCAUCAAUGGCUACUCCCAACAGGGUCUCGCGGGAUCUUCUGUUGUCAUGAAACUUUUCAGGCGCAUGCGCGCCGAGAAUGGCUUCCCCAACGCACACACGUUCGCGGGUGUGUUUACAGCCACGUCGAAUUUGUCGGAUGUUUUUGGCGGGCAGCAAGUGCACGCUUUGGCGAUCAAAACAGAUGGAUUUGUGGAUGUGUUUGUGGGUAGUUCUGUAGUGAAUAUGUAUUGCAAAGUGGGUUUUGUUUCAGAUGCUCGUCACGUGUUCGAUAGAAUGCCUCAGAGGAAUUCAGUUUCAUGGGCUACAAUGAUUUCUGGAUAUGCAGUGCAGCGGCUUGCUGCAGAAGCUCUGGACCUCUUUGUGUUGAUGCGCCGGGAAGAAGAGGAAAAGGAGAAUGAAUUUGUGUUCACUAGUGUUCUUAGUGCCUUGACGGCUCAUGAACUUGUUGAACAUGGUAAGCAAAUUCAUGGUCUUGCGACAAAAAAUGGGUUAUUGGCUUUUGUCUCGGUUGGAAAUGCUCUUGUUACUAUGUAUGCUAAAUGUGGGAUUCUUGAUGACGCUCUUCAAACAUUUAAGAUGUCAAGUGAUAAGAACUCUAUUACGUGGUCAGCAAUGAUCACUGGCUAUGCACAAAGUGGGAAUUCUCACGAGGCAUUGAUAUUGUUUUCAAAUAUGCAUUUUUCGGGGAUGAUGCCCAGUGAGUUCACCCUUGUCGGGGUCCUCAAUGCUUGUAGUGAUAUUGGUUCUGUUGAAGAAGGAAAGCAAGUGCAUGACUAUUUGCUGAAGUUGGGGUUUGAAUCCCAAAUAUUUAUAAUGACGGCACUGGUUGAUAUGUAUGCGAAAUGUGGCAGCAUUGCUGAUGCUCGGAAGGGUUUUGAUUAUCUACAAGAGCCUGAUAUUGUUUUGUGGACUUCCAUGAUUGGAGGGUAUGCACAAAAUGGAGAGAAUGAAGAUGCAUUGAGUUUGUAUGGUAGAAUGGAGGCAGAGGGGAUCUUGCCUAAUGAACUAACCAUGGCCAGUGUCCUUAAAGCCUGUUCGAGCCUUGCUGCUUUAGAGCAAGGAAAGCAAGUUCAUGCCCGCUCCAUUAAAUAUGGAUUUGGUUUAGAAGCUCCAAUUGGAAGUGCUCUUUCAAUUAUGUAUGCAAAAUGUGGAAACCUUGAAGAUGGAAACCUUGCUUUUAGGAGGACACCCUCGAGGGAUGUUGUAUCAUGGAACUCAAUGAUAUCUGGGCUUUCUCAAAAUGGACGUGGCAAAGAAGCUCUGGAACUCUUUGAGGAAAUGCGAUUAGAGGGUACAAAGCCAGAUAGUGUUACUUUUGUGAAUAUUCUUUCCGCUUGUAGCCACAUGGGAUUGGUGAAAAGAGGAUGGAUAUAUUUCAAGAUGAUGUCUAAUGUAUUUGGCAUAGUCCCACAAGUGGAGCAUUAUGCUUGUAUGGUUGAUAUUUUAAGCCGUUCCGGAAAGCUUAAUGAUGCUAAAGAGUUUAUUGAAUCGGCAACUAUUGAUCAUGGUAUGUGUUUAUGGCGUAUAUUAUUGGGUGCUUGUCGGAACUACCGUAAUUAUGAUUUGGGAGCAUAUGCAGGGGAGAAACUAAUGGACUUGGGCUCCCCAGAAUCAUCUGCUUAUGUGUUGUUGUCAAGUAUCUAUUCUGCCUUGGGCAGGUGGGAUGAUGUUGAGCGAGUCUGGAGGAUGAUGAAAGCUCGAGGCAUAACUAAGGAGCCUGGGUGUAGCUGGGUUGAACUGAAGAGUCAAGUUCAUGUGUUUGUUGUUGGAGACCAGAUGCAUCCGCAGAUUGGACAAAUACGUGAAGAGUUACGGUGGUUAAGCAAACAAAUGAAGGAUGAAGGUUACAAGCCUGAAUUUGAUUCAUUUUCUGUGGCUUCUGGAAGUUGAGAUGACAAGGGCAAAGAGGUGGUGCAUCUGGGUUUUGCUUUUUGGGGAGGGCAGUUUUCUCCUGAGCUCUUCCUGGUAGGUGGAUUUCAGGCUUCCCACUAAAAUUUAGUGCCCGUGGGGAGAGUUUUCUGCAUCUUUUCAUGUUGGAUGAAGGGAGGGACGGCGCAUGGCUGGGUCAGUGAUUUCUACCAUGCUAGGGUCAAGCACUGGAAUGGAGUGAGCUGUGUUGUGUUAUGGCAUCCUACCAGUUUUGGUACUUGCAGAUUCGAUUUCAUGGCAUGUUCUGGUCCUGGGCUUGUCAGCGUUGUGUUCAUUCUGGCCUUUGUCAGUUGCAUUGAGUUGGGGGACUUCCUUCUUUUGCCGUUCUUUGUCACUUUGUCAGAUUGUGGUUGAUAUCGGUCUCUGAAGGAGAUUUGUACAGUCAUGGCUGCACAAUGAUGCUGCAAACGGGCUGAUUUUCCCCAUUGCAGCCGUAAUGGAAGUUAAAAAAAACGGCUACAUUGGGCUCAACGGUCACCAAAAUAUACAAGGAGUGAAUGGAUUUUGCCAUUUAAUAUAGCAACAUUUAUUGGAACUUGUCAAUGAUUUCUUGAAGAAAGCUGUGAUAUAAAUUACGGAUCGUUGCAGUGUAUAAGCUUAAUUUUGUAGUUGUUAUGAUGCAGAUAAAAAGUUAUAAGUUGUGUGAAAUGCAUUUUUACCCCACAGCAUAGUGCAGGCAUGUUGUCUAGCAUAUUACUGCACAACCUGAGGAAUAAGCUAUCAGAUUAUUCAAUAUCAGUAGCUUCUACAUUGGACGAACAAUAAUAACUUCUCUUGGUUUGGAA